GCGCCCGUAGCUCAGCUGGAUAGAGUACCUGACUACGAAUCAGGUGGUCGGAGGUUCGAAUCCUCCCGGGCGCA
rfam:Halomonas subglaciescola strain ACAM 12 genome assembly, chromosome: I